rnacentral:rRNA from 1 species
UACGAAGGGGGCUAGCGUUGCUCGGAAUCACUGGGCGUAAAGGGUGCGUAGGCGGGUCUUUAAGUCAGGGGUGAAAUCCUGGAGCUCAACUCCAGAACUGCCUUUGAUACUGGCGAUCUUGAGUCCGGGAGAGGUGAGUGGAACUGCGAGUGUAGAGGUGAAAUUCGUAGAUAUUCGCAAGAACACCAGUGGCGAAGGCGGCUCACUGGCCCGGUACUGACGUUGAGGUGCGAAAGCGUGGGGAGCAAACAGG